UUACGGUCAUAUCGCGUUAAAAUACCGGUCCCCGUACGAUCACUGAAGUUAAUAAACGUCGGGCCUGGUCAGUACUCAGAUGGUUGGCCGCUAGGGUAUAUCAGGUGCUGUAAG